GACGAACGCUGGCGGCGUGCCUAACACAUGCAAGUCGAACGGAAAGGCCCUGCUUUUUUGGGGUGCUCGAGGGGCGAGCGGGUGAGUUACCCGUGAGUAACCUGCCCUUGGCUUUGGGAUGACUUCAGGCAACUGGGGCUAAUACCGGCUAGGAGCUCCUGCUGCAUGGUGGGGGUUGGAACGCUUCGGCGGUUGGGGAUGGACUCGCGGCUAAUCAGCUUGUUGGGGGGGGAGUGGCUUAGCAAGUCUUUGACGGGUGGCCGGCCUGAGAGGGUGGCCGGCCUCCUUGGGACUGAGGGACGGCCCAGACUCCUACGGUAGGCAGCAGUGGAGAGUAUUGCACAGUGGGCGGGAGCGUGAUGCAGCAGCGCCCCGUGCGUGAAGACCUCCUUCGUGUUGUAAACCGCUUUCGCCUGUGACGAAGCGUUAGUGACGUUACUGGGUAAAGAAGCACCGGCUAACUACGUG
rnacentral:rRNA from 1 species